UGUCAAAUGAUUUUUCCUGAUCUUGACACUGCAUUCUUUUUUCCAAAGGUUGGAAGUUAACUCUUCAAGAUACCAGACUUCAUUUUUAUUGGGAUAUUAAUUCUGAUUAAAUAACAGAAAUCCAUCGACCCUUCAUCUCGAUCCAUAAGAGAGAUAGUAGAAAAGCUGGAGAAAAGAAUAUUCUAAGGGGAAAAAAAGAACAAGGCACCUAUACCUUUAAAGAAAGAACUGAGGACGACGUCUCCUUGCAUCUACUAAUGAUCAUUGUAAUGUGAUGCUGGACCUGAACUUGCUUAAGACUCCCAUUCAAGGUUGAAUUAGGAAGUUUUGUGCAGACCUGGAAGAAGCAGGUAAGUUAUUUGUUACAGUUUCUCCUAAUGUCAUCCAUUCUACUUUCUCCAUUACUUAUUAUGCAAAUGUUUAUUUCCC
rnacentral:lncRNA from 1 species